GUACGUACUGGCAUCGUCGGUUUCUCCCUUCUGACGAACCAUGAUGUCAUUUAUUUGGUGUCGUGGGGAAUCAGGACUGUUACUUUGAAAAAAUUAGAGUGUUUAAAGCAGGCUCACGCUUGAAUACAUUAGCAUGGAAUAAUGAAAUAGGACGUUUGAUUCUAUUUUGUUGGUUUCUAGGAUCGACGUAAUGAUUAAUAGGGAUAGUUGGGGGCAUUAGUAUUCAAUUGUCAGAGGUGAAAUUCUUGGAUUUAUUGAAGACUAACUACUGCGAAAGCAUUUGCCAAGGAUGUUUUCAUUAAUCAAGAACGAAAGUUAGGGGAUCGAAGACGAUCAGAUACCGUCGUAGUCUUAACCAUAAACUAUGCCGACUAGGGAUCGGACGAUGUUAAUUUUUUAAUGACUCAUUCGGCGCCUUACG
rnacentral:rRNA from 1 species